rnacentral:rRNA from 1 species
AUUGAACGCUGGCGGCAGGCCUAACACAUGCAAGUCGAACGGAGCGGCGGACGGGGGAGGGCGGCCUAGGGAGCUGCCUGGUAGUGAGGGAUCCCGUCCGGAAGCGGGCGCUAAUACCGCAUAAUAUCAGAGGAGCCUCGGUCGGAUUAGCUAGUUGGUGGGGUAAAGGCUUACCAAGGCGACGAUCCGUAGCUGGUCUGAGAGGAUGAUCAGUCACACUGGAACUGAGACACGGUCCAGACUCCUACGGGAGGCAGCAGUGGGGAAUAUUGGACAAUGGGCGAAAGCCUGACCCAGCCAGGCCGCGUGAGUGAAGAAGGUCUUCGGAUUGUAAAGCACUGUUAGUUGGGAGGCGUUACCAACAGAAUAAGCACCGGCUAACUUCGUGCCAGCAGCCGCGGUAAUAC